rnacentral:rRNA from 1 species
CGAAGCUGUGAGAUUUAGAGAAUCUAAAUCGGUAGGGGAGCGUUCCGUUGUUGGGUGAAGUUUCCAUGGAAAUGGGAAUGGACAGAUCGGAAGUGAGAAUGUUGGCUUGAGUAACGAAAACAUUGGUAAGAAUCCAAUGCCCCGAAAACCGUUGGGUUCCUCCACUAGGUUCGUCCAUGGGGGGUGAGUCAGGACCUAAGGCAAGGCCGAAAGGCGUAGUCGAUGGAAAACAGGUUAAGAUUCCUGUACUGUUUUUAUUGGGAACCAAGGGACGAAGUAGACUAAACUGGGACUGUGAUUGGAAUACAUUGGAAGCGUUAAAGCAGACGAUUUUAGAAAAAAAACUAAAAUAAAGGAAAACGUGACCCCUAUUCUUAUAAGUAAUUAGAAGAGUAGCCAGUGAUGUCAAACUUCCAAGAAAAGCUUGUACACCAAAAAGAAAUUUUAAACAAUAAAAAUACUUGUACCUGAAACCGACACAGGUAGGUUGGUAGAGUAUACUAAGGGGCGCGAGAGAACUCUCUCUAAGGAACUCGGCAAAUUAACCCCGUAACUUCGGUAGAAGGGGUGCCUUAUUUCUAAAUAAGGUCGCAGAGAAAUGGCUUAAGCGACUGUUUAUCAAAAACACAGGUCUCCGCAAAGUCGAAAGACAAUAUAUGGGGGCUGACGCCUGCCCAGUGCCGGAAGGUUAAGGAAGUUGGUUAUUAUUAUUUAUAAUAAAAAGCUGAUAACCGAAGCCCCGGUGAACGGCGGUUGUAACAAUAACAAUCCUAAGGUAGCGAAAUUCAUUGUCAAGUAAGUUUUGACCUGCACGAAAGGCGUAACGAUUUAAGCACUGUCUCGGAGAGAGGCUCGGUGAAAUAGACUUGUCCGUGAAGAUGCGGACUAUAUCUACUUGGACAGAAAGACCCUAUGAAGCUUUACUGUAUCCUGGAAUUGGGUUCGGGCUUUUCUUGCGCAGUCUAGGUGGGAGGCGACGAAGAUCUUCUUCCGGGAAGGUCAGAGCCAAAAUUGAGAGACCACUCUGGAAGAGCUAGAAUCCUAAGGGUGUUCUUAAAAGAAAUGUAUAAGACACUUAACAGUUUCAGGAGGGCAGUUUCACUGGGGCGGUGGCCUCCUAAAGCGUAACGGAGGUGUGCAAAGGUUCUUUCAGCCUGGACGGAAAUCAGGCAUUGAGUGCAAAGGCAAAAGGGAGCUUGACUGCAAGACCUACAAGUCGAGCAGGGGCGAAAGCCGGCCUUAGUGAUCCGACGAUUCCAUGUGGAAGGGUCGUCGCUCAACGGAUAAAAGUUACUCUAAGGAUAACAGGCUUAUUUUCCCCAAGAGUUCACAUCGACGGGAAAGUUUGGCACCUCGAUGUCGGCUCAUCACAUCCUGGAGCGGUAGUACGUUCCAAGGGUUGGGCUGUUCGCCCAUUAAAGUGGUACGUGAGCUGGGUUCAAAACGUUGUGAAACAGUUUGGUCCAUAUCCGGUAGAUACGUUAGAGCAUUGAUAGGAGCGUUUCAUAGUACGAGAGGACCUGAAACGACGUGCCAAUUGUGUACCAGUUCUCACUCCAGUGGGAAACGCUGGGUAGCUAUGCACGGAGACGAUAAAAGCUGACAGCAUCUAAGUUUGAAGCACACCUAGAGAUGAUUGCUCUUUUAAGGUCGCGGUAAGACAAACCGUUUGAUAGGUAUCAAGUGGAAGGCUAGUAAUAGUUGUAGCUGAGAUAUACUAAAGACCGU